CUUGUUCAGAAAGAGUAUUUAUAUAUAUGUCCACUACCUUUUGUACAAUGAAGACAAAAUGUCCAAAGAAUAGACUGGAAUUUAUUGGGUCGUUCAAGAAAACAGAUGCUUUUUGGAUCCCUUGUACCAUGUCCAUAAAUAAAGACUUCGACAAUAAAGAGAUGACAGCAAAUUGUACGCUCUUAAAAAUUCUUCUUCUGUAUUGGCAUUCAUGAUUCUAUGGAACUAAACUUUUCUUUAUAGUGAAAUAAGUGAAAAAUAGAUCAUUCGUGUGUUCUUCACACUAAGAAAAAGAACUGUUCACUGAAAGGGGAUGCCAAAAUGAUUCCUCUGUUGUUUCUCUGAAAACCCCCUUUUGGAGAGUAAUUUUUCUGAACACCAACAGACAACACUAACCUUUUUAAUUUAAAUUUUAUUUUUAUUUUUAUUUUUUUUAAUGACCCCAACUCUGUAUUGCAACCAUGUUGAAAUGGUGCUGUUUCUUUUAAAGGUUGGUUGCAACCUGUUACCUCUAAGCAACCUGUUAUUCAUAUUAUAGACAAAUGAACACGUAAAAAUGCUGAAUUUCCAGUUUUCCUAUACAUGAGAGAAAAGAAUGUGCCAAAAAGGUGUGUUGACAUUUUAUUUAUCAUAGACCAGCCCAAAAGCAUUCUUAACAUUUUCUUGCUGUCAUUUGUUUCAUCAUUUCCUAGUCUCAAAUCAGUUUGAAAGUGUGAGUGUUGAAUGCAUACCCACAGAAGAGCACAUUUGUGAUGAAUCUAUAAGGGCAACCCUUCCGCUGAAUGGAGUCGAGCCCGGUUGCCCUGACUCUUUUAUCCUCUCCUAGAAAACACUAGCUCUGGAGGGAUUUGCACCGGGCCAUAAUUUUUUUUUUCCCAGUCCACUGAGGGAAGCUCUAUCUAUUUUUGGCAUCACAUGACAGACUACCACAGCAUACCAAAGAGCCAAAACUCACACAAUAUCCUCCAGGCCUACAGCCAGGUGACAUAAGGGCUCACUGUGAACAAAACAACAGGCUGUUGUUGUCAAACACUUUUGGAUUUCGGAAAACCUGAUGCUAUUAUUCCAUGUCUUUCAAAAGCCCACUCUUAUGCCACGUGAAGCAGUUUAGGGAGACAAUUUAGUCUGAGAGCCAGACUUCAGAAAUGAAAGAAUUAAGGACGAUAGAAAGCGAGAGAGUCCAUUUUGAUGAGCUUAAGCUCAGUCUGUGAACCCGCAGCGAGAUUCAACCUGAGAUUCAAUCAACAGAGUUUCAGCUCUAAACCUCUUAUCAGCAGAAUGUAUCGCUGGAAUUAAUGCUGAUUAUUGACUAAAUUCAUUAAAAUCUGUCUAAGUCAAGGAUUACGUUCUUCAGUCAAGUGAAAGCGAGCUUUAAGAUAAGUCCAGACGUCUAGAAAAGCUCAGAAAGUUGUUCUUGGCAACUCUACUUUUUGACCUCAACUGAAAAGUACAGUGAAUAUUACAGCCUGAGGUAUCAUUGCAGAUUUAUAAAAACCAAAUGUACUUGUUCUGUUGAUUUAUGAAGCUAAACAUCAAGUCAUCUCCUUUUUUAUAAAAAAUGUUAUUACUGCCAUUAAUUAUACUCAACAUCAUGCACUAGCAAAAUGUUUUAAACUGUAUAUUGGUUAGUGAGUUUAACCUCAGAAGAAGGUUGUGAUUUUCCCACAAUUCUCUGUGAAUGCAGGCCUUUCUUGGCAUUUACUGUAUGCAACAACUGGGCGAACUCAGCAAGGAUAUGGCAGCUAGGAAACUAGCCAGGAAACAUUUACAGAGAUUCUGCACCUUACUAAAGCCUAGCAAUCGAGCAUGAUCCUCAGUCAUCACUGCUCUUAACAACACACAUUCACAGAGGAAAAGGAGAACACAUCUGGUCCUUAUUGGAACCAGAGAAAAAAUGAGUCCAAGCCAAACUAAUUAUUCAGCACCACAGAGAGGUAUUAAUACAAAAAAUAUUUACUUGCGUCAUUGAAAGGUUACGUGUGAUAGUCUCGUCUAGCCAGAUCUUUGGCAAUAAUCUGGUCCACAUUGCAGCUUAUGCUGGCCAAGAACCAUCUGCUUACACAGGACAAGCUGCCUGUCUGACACGUUUGACCUCUUGAGGUAACCAAAGAAAUGAACGACAUCCAUCAUGCUGGCAUUGUCCUUUUGACCUCUUAUAUUCUUUUUAACUGUUUUUCUAACAUUAAUUUCUUGAUUUUAUAUACUUUAAUCACAAUUUUUA